rnacentral:rRNA from 1 species
CCUACGGGUGGCAGCAGUGAGGAAUAUUGGUCAAUGGACGAGAGUCUGAACCAGCCAAGUAGCGUGAAGGAUGACUGCCCUAUGGGUUGUAAACUUCUUUUAUAUGGGAAUAAAACGUUCCACGUGUGGGAUUUUGUAUGUACCAUAUGAAUAAGGAUCGGCUAACUCCGUGCCAGCAGCCGCGGUAAUACGGAGGAUCCGAGCGUUAUCCGGAUUUAUUGGGUUUAAAGGGAGCGUAGGUGGAUUGUUAAGUCGGUUGUGAAAGUUUGCGGCUCAACCGGAAAAUUGCAGUUGAUACUGGCAGUCUUGAGUACAGUAGAGGUGGGCGGAAUUCGUGGUGUAGCGGUGAAAUGCUUAGAUAUCACGAAGAACUCCGAUUGCGAAGGCAGUUCACUGGACUGCAACUGACACUGAGGCUCGAAAGUGUGGGUAUCAAACAGGAUUAGAUACCCUAGUAGUC